CUGUUCUUUAUGUUGGCCUCCUGACCAGGACUGAAUGGCUCACAGGAUCUGAAGUCUAAUUAGAGAGCAAUUGGUCACCACCGAGGUAUGUGUGACACAAAUGUACCCAUGUAAGCAUCCUGGAAAUAUCAGAAGCUAUAACCAUAAAGUCUCAUUAACAUGAUCUAAAAAUGAGGUGAACAAGGACAACAACAGAAAUGUUAACAUGGAUGAGUGACAGCCAAAAAGGCCUCAACCCUACACAAAGAAGUACAGGCAACUAAGGAAUACCGGGAAUGGAAGAAAUAGUCUUCUUCAGCAAAGAGCACACUGAUUGUUAUGCCACACCAAAUGGUCAGCCCUGAGAACACAUGUAUAAGCAGCAUUACACAAACUAAGCAAAUAGGAUUUUAUCUUACCUAUAAUAAUGACCACCAUGUUCUAUUGUUUUUUUCAAGUAUUACCAGGCUUUAAUAUAAAAUGAAAAGCAUUCAUACUAGAAAAAGAUUAAAAGGCUGAAGUCCAAAGCUUCCUUGAUUAAGACAUGUGCAUGGUCAUUAAAAAAAAAAAAGCAGAAAAGGUGCUAAUCAGCCUUUCUGCAACCAUGACCAAGAAGUCACAGCAAGGCAUGCUGGGGACAUAGCAGAGCUAUCCUCCCACGUACACACCAAGACCAGCACCUGCAGGAGCCUGAGUGCAUUCUUUAACCCAGGGACAUCAGCAGAUAUUUCCUCAGUAAUCUGAUCUGGCUUUAUAGCCAUGCCUAGCUCACAUAUCAUAAGAUCUUUGGGAAAAUAUACUCUGACU
rnacentral:lncRNA from 1 species